CAAGAGUUCCAGAACGAGCCUGAAGACGCUGGGGAAGUCUCUGAUGCCGACUCAAUCUUGGAUGCUAUUGAUGAUAGCGCGCCGAGAAGCGAGUCUGAAGAAGAUGACGAGAGAGAGCAGCAGAAGCAAAAACUGUUUCGGAACAAACCUCGUCGCUUCUGAGGGACAUCAUAGCAGGG